UAGGGAAUCUUCGGCAAUGGACGAAAGUCUGACCGAGCAACGCCGCGUGAGUGAAGAAGGUUUUCGGAUCGUAGAACUCUGUUGUUAGAGAAGAACAAGGACGUUAGUAACUGAACGUCCCCUGACGGUAUCUAACCAGAAAGCCACGGCUAACUACGUGCCAGCAGCCGCGGUAAUACGUAGGUGGCAAGCGUUGUCCGGAUUUAUUGGGCGUAAAGCGAGCGCAGGCGGUUUCUUAAGUCUGAUGUGAAAGCCCCCGGCUCAACCGGGGAGGGUCAUUGGAAACUGGGAGACUUGAGUGCAGAAGAGGAGAGUGGAAUUCCAUGUGUAGCGGUGAAAUGCGUAGAUAUAUGGAGGAACACCAGUGGCGAAGGCGGCUCUCUGGUCUGUAACUGACGCUGAGGCUCGAAAGCGUGGGGAGCAAACAGG
rnacentral:rRNA from 1 species